GAUGAACGCUGGCGGUGUGCCUAAUACAUGCAAGUCGAGCGAACAGACGGGGAGCUUACUCCUCUGACGUUAGCGGCGGACGGGUGAGUAACACGUGGAUAACCUACCUAUAAGACUGGGAUAACUUCGGGAAACCGGAGCUAAUACCGGAUAACAUGUUGAACCGCAUGGUUCAACAGUGAAAGACGGUCUUGCUGUCACUUAUAGAUGGAUCCGCGUCGCAUUAGCUAGUUGGUAAGGUAACGGCUUACCAAGGCAACGAUGCGUAGCCGACCUGAGAGGGUGAUCGGCCACACUGGAACUGAGACACGGUCCAGACUCCUACGGGAGGCAGCAGUAGGGAAUCUUCCGCAAUGGGCGAAAGCCUGAAGGAGCAACGCCGCGUGAGUGAAGAAGGUCUUCGGAUCGUAAAACUCUGUUAUUAGGGAAGAACAAAUGUGUAAGUAACUAUGCACGUCUUGACGGUACCUAAUCAGAAAGCCACGGCUAACUACGUG
rnacentral:rRNA from 1 species